rfam:Chlorocebus sabaeus isolate 1994-021 chromosome 20, whole genome shotgun sequence.
GCUGGGCGUGGUGGCGGGUGCCUAUAGUCUCAGCUACUCAGGAGGCUGAGGCAGGGGAAUUGCUUGAACCAGGGAGGUGGAGGUUGCAGUGAGCCGAGAUCAUGCCAUUGCACUCCAGCCUGNNNNNNNNNNCAGGCUGGAGUGCAAUGGCAUGAUCUCGGCUCACUGCAACCUCCACCUCCCUGGUUCAAGCAAUUCCCCUGCCUCAG